rnacentral:rRNA from 1 species
UGGGGAAUAUUGCACAAUGGGCGCAAGCCUGAUGCAGCCAUGCCGCGUGUAUGAAGAAGGCCUUCGGGUUGUAAAGUACUUUCAGCGGGGAGGAAGGGAGUAAAGUUAAUACCUUUGCUCAUUGACGUUACCCGCAGAAGAAGCACCGGCUAACUCCGUGCCAGCAGCCGCGGUAAUACGGAGGGUGCAAGCGUUAAUCGGAAUUACUGGGCGUAAAGCGCACGCAGACGGUUUGUUAAGUCAGAUGUGAAAUCCCCGGGCUCAACCUGGGAACAGCAUCUGAUACUGGCAAGCUAGAGUAUCGUAGAGGGACGUAGAAUUCCAGGUGGAGCGGUGAAAUGCGUGAAGAUCUGGAGGAAUCCCGGUGGCGAAGGCGGCUCCCUGGACGAAGACUGACGCUAAGGUGCGAAAGCGUGGGGAGCAAACAGG